AACCUUACCAGGUCUUGACAUCUUUUGAUCACCUGAGAGAUCAGGUUUCCCCUUCGGGGGCAAAAUGACAGGUGGUGCAUGGUUGUCGUCAGCUCGUGUCGUGAGAUGUUGGGUUAAGUCCCGCAACGAGCGCAACCCUUAUGACUAGUUGCCAGCAUUUAGUUGGGCACUCUAGUAAGACUGCCGGUGACAAACCGGAGGAAGGUGGGGAUGACGUCAAAUCAUCAUGCCCCUUAUGACCUGGGCUACACACGUGCUACAAUGGAUGGUACAACGAGUUGCGAGACCGCGAGGUCAAGCUAAUCUCUUAAAGCCAUUCUCAGUUCGGACUGUAGGCUGCAACUCGCCUACACGAAGUCGGAAUCGCUAGUAAUCGCGGAUCAGCACGCCGCGGUGAAUACGUUCCCGGGUCUUGUUACACACCCCUGA
rnacentral:rRNA from 1 species